rnacentral:rRNA from 1 species
UACGGAGGAUGCGAGCGUUAUCCGGAUUUAUUGGGUUUAAAGGGUGCGUAGGUGGUAGAUUAAGUCAGCGGUGAAAGUUUGUCGCUUAACGAUAAAAUUGCCGUUGAAACUGGUUUUCUUGAGUAUAGAUGAAGUAGGCGGAAUUCGUUGUGUAGCGGUGACAUGCUUAGAUAUAACGAGGAACUCCGAUUGCGUAGGCAGCUUACUAAACUAUAACUGACGCUCAUGCACGAAAGCGUGGGUAUCAAACAGG